GAUGAACGCUAGCGGCAGGCCUAACACAUGCAAGUCGAGGGGUAUAGGAAGCUUGCUUCCUAGAGACCGGCGCACGGGUGCGUAACGCGUAUGCAAUCUACCUUAUACAGAGGGAUAGCCCAGAGAAAUUUGGAUUAAUACCUCAUAGUAUUAUUGAAUGGCAUCAUUUAAUAAUUAAAGUUCCAACGGUAUAAGAUGAGCAUGCGUCCCAUUAGUUAGUUGGUAAGGUAACGGCUUACCAAGACAAUGAUGGGUAGGGGUCCUGAGAGGGAGAUCCCCCACACUGGUACUGAGACACGGACCAGACUCCUACGGGAGGCAGCAGUGAGGAAUAUUGGUCAAUGGGCGCAAGCCUGAACCAGCCAUGCCGCGUGCAGGAUGACGGUCCUAUGGAUUGUAAACUGCUUUUAUACAGGAAGAAACACUCGGACGUGUCCGAGCUUGACGGUACUGUAGGAAUAAGGAUCGGCUAACUCCGUGCCAGCAGCCGCAGUAAAAC
rnacentral:rRNA from 1 species